rnacentral:rRNA from 1 species
AUUGAACGCUGGCGGCCGGCCUAACACAUGCAAGUCGAGCGGAGCGGCGGACGGGUGAGUAAUGCCUAGUCAUCUGCCUGGUCGUGGGGGAUAACGUCCGGCAACGUGCGCUAAUACCCCAUGCUAUCAGAUGAGCCUAGGUCGGAUUAGCUAGUUGGUGGGGUAAAGGCCUACCAAGGCGACGAUCCGUAACUGGUCUGAGAGGAUGAUCAGUCACACUGGAACUGAGACACGGUCUAGACGCCGACGUGAGGCAGCAGUGGGGAAUAGUGGACAAUGGGCGAAAGCCUGAUCCAGCCAUGCCGCGUGUGUGAAGAAGGUCUUCGGAUUGUAAAGCACUUUAAGUUGGGAGGCGUUACCAACAGAAUAAGCACCGGCUAACUUCGUGCCAGCAGCCGCGGUAAUAC